rnacentral:ncRNA from 1 species
CAGUGAGACAGUGGGGGAUAAGCUUCAUAGUCGAGAGGGAAACAACCCAGACAUCAACUAAGGUCCCCUAAGCGCGUGCUAAGUGGGAAAGGAUGUGGAGUUGCAGUAGACAACCAGGAGGUUGGCUUAGAAGCAGCCACCCUUGAAAGAGUGCGUAAUAGCUCACUGGUCAAGUGAUUCCGCGCCGACAAUGUAACGGGGCUCAAGCACACCACCGAAGUUGUAGAUUUCAUGUAUUAGCCCGGCUUAAGGUCCAGGCGCAUGGAGUGGUAGGAGAGCGUCGUGUGGCGAGUGAAGCGGCGGUGUAAACCAGCCGUGGACGCCACACGAGUGAGAAUGCAGGCAUGAGUAGCGAAAGACGGGUGAGAAACCCGUCCUCCGAAAGACCAAGGGUUCCAGGGUCAAGCUAAUCUUCCCUGGGUAAGUCGGGACCUAAGGCGAGGCCGACAGGCGUAGUCGAUGGACAACGGGUUGAUAUUCCCGUACGGCGAAGAACCGCCCAAAUCAAUCCAGUAGUGCUAAGAGUCCUAAUCCGGUAGAUGGAUCCCUUCGGGGUGAAGCGCCGGCCU